CCAAAGGCUCUUUUAAGAGCCACCUACCUCUUCAGUAAAAGAGCUGU
rfam:Picoides pubescens contig35239, whole genome shotgun sequence.